GCUGGCGACAUAAAUUCUUAGGACAAAUCAUUUGCCAACAUAUAUGUCCCCAUUGGUGGGAUCCUUUACAUAGCUAGGUUGUCAAUUCAUAUCAUCUUUCAAUUCAUAUAUUAUUUCAAAAAUACUAUAAAUAAGUGAUAUUCGAGUCAAUCAAUCAUAUCAUUCUUUAUGAUCAUACAUCAUCAUAAUAAUUUUCAACAAAUAUCUUCAAUCAUAAAUAAUUUUCAAUAAUUAUUUUCAAUCACAAUUAAUUUCAACAAAUAUUUUCAAUCACAAGC
rnacentral:lncRNA from 1 species